rnacentral:rRNA from 1 species
GACGAACGCUGGCGGCGUGCUUAACACAUGCAAGUCGAACGGAAAGGCCCUGCUUUUGUGGGGUGCUCGAGUGGCGAACGGGUGGGUAACACGUGAGUAACCUGCCCUUGACUUUGGGAUAACUUCAGGAAACUGGGGCUAAUACCGGAUAGGAGCUCCUGCUGCAUGGUGGGGGUUGGAAAGUUUCGGCGGUUGGGGAUGGACUCGCGGCUUAUCAGCUUGUUGGUGGGGUAGUGGCUUACCAAGGCUUUGACGGGUAGCCGGCCUGAAAGGGUGACCGGCCACAUUGGGACUGAGAUACGGCCCAGACUCCUACGGGAGGCAGCAGUGGGGAAUAUUGCACAAUGGGCGGAAGCCUGAUGCAGCAACGCCGCGUGCGGGAUGACGGCCUUCGGGUUGUAAACCGCUUUCGCCUGUGACGAAGCGUGAGUGACGGUAAUGGGUAAAGAAGCACCGGCUAACUACGUG